GGGGAUAUAACUCAGUAGAUAGAGUGUCUGCCUUUCAAACACAAUGCACUGGGUUCAAUCCCCAGCACCA
rnacentral:tRNA from 1 species